rnacentral:rRNA from 1 species
UUCGCAAUGCCCGAAAGGGUGACGAAGCGACGCCGCGUGCGGGAAGAAGGCCUUCGGGUUGUAAACCGCUGUCGGGAGUUAAGAAAUGCAAGGAUGUUAAUAGCAUUCUUGCUUGACUAAGGCUCCGGAGGAAGCCACGGCUAACUCUGUGCCAGCAGCCGCGGUAAUACAGAGGCGGCAAGCGUUGUUCGGAAUUAUUGGGCGUAAAGAGCACGUAGGCGGCUAUGUAAGUCGGUUGUGAAAGCCUUCCGCUCAACGGAAGAACAGCAUCCGAUACUACAUGGCUUGAGUGCGGGAGGGGAGAGUGGAACUUCUGGUGGAGCGGUGAAAUGCGUAGAUAUCAGAAGGAACGCCGGCGGCGAAAGCGGCUCUCUGGCCCAUAACUGACGCUGAGUGUGCGAAAGCUAGGGGAGCAAACGGGAUUAGAUACCCCGGUAGUCCUAGCCGUAAACGAUGGGCACUAAGUAGAGGGGUUUU